CCUACGGGGCGCAGCAGUGGGGAAUAUUGCACAAUGGGGGAAACCCUGAUGCAGCGACGCCGCGUGAGUGAAGAAGUAUUUCGGUACGUAAAGCUCUAUCAGCAGGGAAGAAAAAAAGUCCUUUGGACUUUGGACGGUACCUGACCAAGAAGCCCCGGCUAACUACGUGCCAGCAGCCGCGGUAAUACGUAGGGGGCAAGCGUUAUCCGGAUUUACUGGGUGUAAAGGGAGCGUAGACGGCAAUACAAGUCGGAAGUGAAAUACCCGGGCUCAACCUGGGAACUGCUUUGGAAACUGUAUGGCUG
rnacentral:rRNA from 1 species